rnacentral:rRNA from 1 species
UGUUUCGGCUAGGGGGCCAUCCCGGCUUACCAACCCGAUGCAAACUGCGAAUACCGGAGAAUGUUAUCACGGGAGACACACGGCGGGUGCUAACGUCCGUCGUGAAGAGGGAAACAACCCAGACCGCCAGCUAAGGUCCCAAAGUCAUGGUUAAGUGGGAAACGAUGUGGGAAGGCCCAGACAGCCAGGAUGUUGGCUUAGAAGCAGCCAUCAUUUAAAGAAAGCGUAAUAGCUCACUGGUCGAGUCGGCCUGCGCGGAAGAUGUAACGGGGCUAAACCAUGCACCGAAGCUGCGGCAGCGACGCUUAUGCGUUGUUGGGUAGGGGAGCGUUCUGUAAGCCUGCGAAGGUGGCCUGUGAGGG